UACGUAGGUGGCGAGCGUUAUCCGGAAUGAUUGGGCGUAAAGGGUGCGUAGGCGGCCUUUUAAGUCAGCGGUGAAAGUCUGUGGCUCAACCAUAGAAUUGCCGUUGAAACUGGGGGGCUUGAGUAUGUUUGAGGCAGGCGGAAUGCGUGGUGUAGCGGUGAAAUGCGUAGAUAUUAGGAGGAACACCAGUGGCGAAGGCGACUUUCUGGACAGAAACUGACGUUGAGGCACGAAAGUGUGGGGAGCAAACAGG
rnacentral:rRNA from 1 species